rnacentral:rRNA from 1 species
CCUACGGGAGGCAGCAGUGGGGAAUAUUGGACAAUGGGGGCAACCCUGAUCCAGCAAUGCCGCGUGUGUGAAGAAGGCCUGCGGGUUGUAAAGCACUGGGCAAUUGCUAACUUAACCCACAGAAAAAGCACCGGCUAACUCUGUGCCAGCAGCCGCGGUAAUACAGAGGGUGCGAGCGUUUAUCGGAAUUACUGGGCGUAAAGGGUGCGUAGGUGGUUCGAUAAGUCAGAUGUGAAAUCCCUGGGCUUAACCUGGGAAUUGCAUUUGAUACUGUCAAACUAGAGUGUGGUAGAGGUAAGCGGAAUUCCCGGUGUAGCGGUGAAAUGCGUAGAUAUCGGGAGGAACAUCAGUGGCGAAGGCGGCUUACUGGCCACACUGACACUGAGGCACGAAAGCGUGGGUAGCAAACAGGAUUAGAUACCCUUGUAGUC